CACGAUGUGUGUGUGUGAUUACCUAUUUUAAUACUGAAUAGUAGUUUAAACUGCAUUAGAUUACAUAUCAGAUGUAUGCAUAAAGAUUUCACGAACAAAUACUCAGGUAAACCUCUAAAGAUUGGAAUCCAGCCCAACAAAACUAUUCUAUGGUCAAAAAAGAAUUACUUGCCAUAGUCCAUUGUGUUACUAAAUUUCAAAGUG
rnacentral:lncRNA from 1 species